rnacentral:piRNA from 1 species
GCAUUGGUGGUAUAGUGGUAAGCAUAGC